rnacentral:rRNA from 1 species
UUUUAACGGAGAGUUUGAUUCUGGCUCAGAACGAACGCUGGCGGCGUGGAUAAGACAUGCAAGUCGAGCGAGAUUUUUUCUUGUAGCAAUACAGGGAAAAGUCUAGCGGCGAACGGGUGCUUAACACGUGGGCAAUCUGUCUUGAAGUGGGGGAUAGCUCGGCGAAAGCCGAAUUAAUACCGCA